rnacentral:rRNA from 1 species
UACGGAAGGUCCGGGCGUUAUCCGGAUUUAUUGGGUUUAAAGGGUGCGCAGGCGGAAGAUCAAGUCAGUGGUCAAAUUGCGGGGCUCAACCCCGUACUGCCGUUGAAACUGCAUCCCUUGAGUGCGCGAGAAGUAUGCGGAAUGCGUGGUGUAGCGGUGAAAUGCAUAGAUAUCACGCAGAACUCCGAUUGCGAAGGCAGCAUACCGGCGCCCAACUGACGCUGAAGCACGAAAGCGUGGGUAUCGAACAGG